GAUGAACGCUGGCGGCGUGCCUAAUACAUGCAAGUCGAGCGAACGGACGAGAAGCUUGCUUCUCUAAUGUUAGCGGCGGACGGGUGAGUAACACGUGGAAAACCUACCUAUAAGACUGGGAUAAUUUCGGGAAACCGUAGCUAAUAACGGAUAAUAUUUUGAUCCGAAUGGUUCAAAAGUGAAAGACGGUCUUGCUGUUACUUAUAGAUGGAUCUGCGCUGCAUUAGCUAGUUGGUAAGGUAACGGCUUACCAAGGCAACGAUGCAUAGCCGAACUGAGAGGGUGGUCGACCACCCUGGAACUGAGACGAGGUCCAGACUCCUACGGGAGGGAACAGUAGAGAAUCUGCCGCAAUGGGCGGAAGGCUGGCGGAGCAACGCCGCGUGAGGUAUGAAGGUCCUCGGAUCGGAAUACUCUGUUAUUAGGGAAGAACAUAUGUGUAAGUAACUGUGCACAGCUUGACGGUACCUAAUCAGAAAGCCACGGCUAACUACGUG
rnacentral:rRNA from 1 species